rnacentral:rRNA from 1 species
GACGAACGCUGGCGGCGUGCCUAAUACAUGCAAGUAGAACGCUGAAGAGAGGAGCUUGCUCUUCUUGGAAGAGUUGCGAACGGGUGAGUAACGCGUAGGUAACCUGCCUUGUAGCGGGGGAUAACUAUUGGAAACGAUAGCUAAUACCGCAUAACAAUGGGUGACCCAUGUCAUUCAUUUGAAAGGGGCAACUGCUCCACUACAAGAUGGACCUGCGUUGUAUUAGCUAGUAGGUGAGGUAACGGCUCACCUAGGCGACGAUACAUAGCCGACCUGAGAGGGUGAUCGGCCACACUGGGACUGAGACACGGCCCAGACUCCUACGGGAGGCAGCAGUAGGGAAUCUUCGGCAAUGGGGGCAACCCUGACCGAGCAACGCCGCGUGAGUGAAGAAGGUUUUCGGAUCGUAAAGCUCUGUUGUAAGUCAAGAACGAGUGUGAGAGUGGAAAGUUCACACUGUGACGGUAGCUUACCAGAAAGGGACGGCUAACUACGUGCCAGCAGCCGCGGUAAUACGUAGGUCCCGAGCGUUGUCCGGAUUUAUUGGGCGUAAAGCGAGCGCAGGCGGUUUGAUAAGUCUGAAGUUAAAGGCUGUGGCUCAACCAUAGUUCGCUUUGGAAACUGUCAAACUUGAGUGCAGAAGGGGAGAGUGGAAUUCCAUGUGUAGCGGUGAAAUGCGUAGAUAUAUGGAGGAACACCGGUGGCGAAAGCGGCUCUCCGGUCUGUAACUGACGCUGAGGCUCGAAAGCGUGGGGAGCGAACAGG